GGUCUGGUGGCCGAGUGGUUAGGCAAGGGUCUGCAAAACCCUGUACAGCGGUUCGAUUCCGCUCCAGACCUCCA
rnacentral:tRNA from 2 species